rnacentral:rRNA from 1 species
UUUGAUGGUCCUACUCACUCGGAUACCGUAGUAAAUCUAGAGCUAAUACGUGCGCACAUCCCGACUUCUGGAAGGGACGUAUUUAUUAGAUAAAAGGCCGACCGGGCUCUGCCCGCCUCGCGGUGACUCAUGAUAACUUCACGAAUCGCACGGCCUCGUGCCGGCGAUGUUUCAUUCAAAUUUCUGCCCUAUCAACUUUUGAUGGUAGGAUAGAGGCCUACCAUGGUGGUAACGGGUGACGGAGAAUUAGGGUUCGAUUCCGGAGAGGGAGCCUGAGAAACGGCUACCACAUCCAAGGAAGGCAGCAAGCGCGCAAAUUACCCAAUCCUGACACAGGGAGGUAGUGACAAUAAAUAACAAUACCGGGCCUUUGGUCUGGUAAUUGGAAUGAGUACAAUCUAAACCCCUUAACGAGGAUCAAUUGGAGGGCAAGUCUGGUGCCAGCAGCCGCGGUAAUUCCAGCUUCCAAUAGCGUAUAUUUAAGUUGCUGCAGUUAAAAACUCGUANUUGGA